GGAUUACAAGCGUGUGCUACCACACCUGGCUCUGUGAGCCUCAGUUUUCUAAGAAAUGAGGAGAACCCUGCAACUGUGAGAACUGAAGAUGCUGUGUUUGUGAAGUACCCGGUGGCUGGCAAGGAUGCUGCUCACCCUUCCCCAGGUCUGGCCUUCUUCCAGGAGGGAGAGACCCUCGAGGCCUUGCCCCUGGAACUCGCCAGCAGACCAGGCUGGGAUGUGGUGCCUGGGAUCCCCCAGGUCCCCGAAUUCCAGCCUUCCCAGGAGGCCCUGAGCAGGCCCGCCAUGGGCUCUGGGAACUAAGCCAGC
rnacentral:lncRNA from 1 species